rnacentral:rRNA from 1 species
UACGUAGGUGGCAAGCGUUGUCCGGAUUUACUGGGCGUAAAGAGCGCGCAGGCGGUCGUUCAAGUCGCGUGUGAAAGCCCCCGGCUCAACUGGGGAGGGUCACGCGAUACUGAUCGACUCGAAGGCAGGAGAGGGUAGUGGAAUUCCCGGUGUAGUGGUGAAAUGCGUAGAUAUCGGGAGGAACACCAGUGGCGAAGGCGACUACCUGGCCUGUUCUUGACGCUGAGGCGCGAAAGCUUGGGGAGCAAACGGG